rnacentral:rRNA from 1 species
CCCUUAGAUGUUCUGGGCCGCACGCGCGCUACACUGAUGCAUCCAACGAGUUUCUUCCUGGUCCGAGAGGAAUGGGUAACCUUUUGAAAGUGCAUCGUGAUAGGGAUAGACUAUUGCAAUUAUUGGUCUUCAACGAGGAAUUCCUAGUAGACGUAGUUCAUCAGACUGCAUCGAUUACGUCCCUGCCCUUUGUACACACCGCCCGUCGCUCCUACCGAUUGAAUGCUCAGGUGAGCCAUUCGGACUUUCAUCAUGCUGGUUUCCAGUUUUGAUGAAGGAAAGUCUUGCGAACCUUAUCAUUUAGAGGAAGGAGAAGUCGUAACA